CCCUUAGAUGUUCUGGGCUGCACGCGCGCUACACUGAUGCGUUCAACGAGUGUAUCACCUUGCCCGAUAGGGUUGGGUAAUCUUUUGAACACGCAUCGUGAUGGGGAUAGAUUAUUGCAAUUAUUAAUCUUCAACGAGGAAUUCCUAGUAAUGAUGAAUCAUCAGUUCAUCGUGAUUACGUCCCUGCCCUUUGUACACACCGCCCGUCGCUCCUACAGAUUGAGCAGUCCGGUGAAUACUUCGGACCGUUUGCAUAGACGGUUCGCCAUCUUUGCGAAUGGAAAGUCGAGUGAACCUUACUGCUUAGAUGAAGGAGAANUCGUAACA
rnacentral:rRNA from 1 species